AAAAUGCGAUAAGUAAUGUGAAUUGCAGAAUUCAGUGAAUCAUCGAAUCUUUGAACGCACAUUGCGCCCGCCAGUAUUCUGGCGGGCAUGCCUGUUCGAGCGUCAUUUCAACCCUCAAGCUCAGCUUGGUGUUGGGACUCGCGGUAACCCGCGUUCCCCAAAUCGAUUGGCGGUCACGUCGAGCUUCCAUAGCGUAGUAAUCAUACACCUCGUUACUGGUAAUCGUCGCGGCCACGCCGUAAAACCCCAACUUCUGAAUGUUGACCUCGGAUCAGGUAGGAAUACCCGCUGAACAUAAGC
rnacentral:misc_RNA from 1 species